CAUUAAAUGACUGAAAAAGUAUUGAUUUUUUAAAUCAAAUAAUAAUAGAUAUAUUAUAAACCUAUUUUUAAUGG
rnacentral:tRNA from 1 species